AGAGUUUGAUCAUGGCUCAGAACGAACGCUGGCGGCAGGCUUAACACAUGCAAGUCGAACGCACCGCAAGGUGAGUGGCAGACGGGUGAGUAACGCGUGGGAACGUGCCCUUCAGUUCGGGAUAACCCAGGGAAACUUGGGCUAAUACCGGAUACGUGCGAGAGCAGAAAGAUUUAUCGCUGAAGGAUCGGCCCGCGUCUGAUUAGCUAGUUGGUGGGGUAAUGGCCCACCAAGGCGACGAUCAGUAGCUGGUCUGAGAGGAUGAUCAGCCACACUGGGACUGAGACACGGCCCAAACUCCUACGGGAGGCAGCAGUGGGGAAUAUUGGACAAUGGGCGCAAGCCUGAUCCAGCCAUGCCGCGUGAGUGAUGAAGGCCUUAGGGUUGUAAAGCUCUUUCGUCCGGGACGAUAAUGACGGUACCGGAAGAAGAAGCCCCGGCUAACUUCGUGCCAGCAGCCGCGGUAAUACGAAGGGGGCUAGCGUUGUUCGGAAUCACUGGGCGUAAAGGGCGCGUAGGCGGCCUGAUAAGUCGGGGGUGAAAGCCUGUGGCUCAACCACAGAAUUGCCUUCGAUACUGUCGGGCUUGAGACCGGAAGAGGUAAGUGGAACUGCGAGUGUAGAGGUGAAAUUCGUAGAUAUUCGCAAGAACACCAGUGGCGAAGGCGGCUUACUGGUCCGGUUCUGACGCUGAGGCGCGAAAGCGUGGGGAGCAAACAGGAUUAGAUACCCUAGUAGUCC
rnacentral:rRNA from 1 species